rnacentral:rRNA from 1 species
AGUGAACGCUGACGGCGUGCUUAACACAUGCAAGUCGAACGAGAACGGAUUAUAGCUUGCUAUAAUUGUCAGCUAAGUGGCGCACGGGUGAGUAAUGUAUAGAUAACCUGCCCUCUAGAAAGGAAUAACAGAUGGAAACGUCUGCUAAUGCCCUAUAUGCCUUUAAUACAUAAGUAUGCAAGGGAAACGCUUUAGUGCUAGAGGAUGGGUCUGUAUGGUAUCAGUUUGUUGGUGAGGUAAUGGCUCACCGAGACUAUGACGCCUAACUGGUUUGAGAGGAUGAUCAGUCACACUGGAACUGAGACACGGUCCAGACUCCUACGGGAGGCAGUAGUGGGGAAUAUUGCACAAUGGACGAAAGUCUGAUGCAGCAACGCCGCGUGGAGGAUGACACAUUUCGGUGCGUAAACUCCUUUUAUAUAGGAAGAUAAUGACGGUACCCAAAGAAUAAGCACCGGCUAACUUCGUGCCAGCCGCCGCCGUAA